CGGACGGGUGAGUAACGCGUGGGUAACCUACCCUGUACAGGGGGAGUAACAGUCAGAAAUGACUGCUAAUACCGCAUAAGACCACAGCACCGCAUGGUGCAGGGGUAAAAACUCCGGUGGUACAGGAUGGACCCGCGUCUGAUUAGCUGGUUGGUGAGGUAACGGCUCACCAAGGCGACGAUCAGUAGCCGGCUUGAGAGAGUGAACGGCCACAUUGGGACUGAGACACGGCCCAAACUCCUACGGGAGGCAGCAUG
rnacentral:rRNA from 1 species